GCCAGGCUUGGUGCGUGUGCCUGUAGUCCCAGCUACUUGGGAGGCUGAGGUGGGAGGAUCGCUUGAGCCCAGGAGUUCUGGGCUGUAGUGCGCUAUGCCAAUCGGGUGUCUGCACUAAGUUUGGCAUCAAUAUGGUGACCUCCGGGGAGCGGGGAGCACCAGGUUGCCUAAGGAGGGGUGAACCAGCCCAGGUUGGAAACAGAGUAGGUCAAAACUCCCGUGCUGAUCAGUAGUGGGAUCGCGCCUGUGAAUAGCCACUGCACUCCAGCCUGGGCAACAUAGCAAGACCCCGUCUCU
rnacentral:SRP_RNA from 1 species